UGGGGAAUUUUGGACAAUGGGCGCAAGCCUGAUCCAGCCAUGCCGCGUGCAGGAAGAAGGCCUUCGGGUUGUAAACUGCUUUUGUCAGGGAAGAAAUCCUCUGGGUUAAUACCUCGGAGGGAUGACGGUACCUGAAGAAUAAGCACCGGCUAACUACGUGCCAGCAGCCGCGGUAAUACGUAGGGUGCGAGCGUUAAUCGGAAUUACUGGGCGUAAAGCGUGCGCAGGCGGCUUUGCAAGACAGAUGUGAAAUCCCCGGGCUCAACCUGGGAACUGCAUUUGUGACUGCAAGGCUAGAGUGCGGCAGAGGGAGAUGGAAUUCCGCGUGUAGCAGUGAAAUGCGUAGAUAUGCGGAGGAACACCGAUGGCGAAGGCAAUCUCCUGGGCCUGCACUGACGCUCAUGCACGAAAGCGUGGGGAGCAAACAGGAUUAGAUACCCUGGUAGUCCACGCCCUAAACGAUGUCAACUGGUUGUUGGACGGCUUGCUGUUCAGUAACGAAGCUAACGCGUGAAGUUGACCGCCUGGGGAGUACGGCCGCAAGGUUG
rnacentral:rRNA from 1 species